UACAGCCACAUCACGUUGAAAUAUCGGUUCCAAUACGAUCAGCGAAGUUAAGCAAUGUGAGCCUGGUUAGUACCGAAAUCGGUGACCGCUUGGGAAAACCAGAUACUGUA